rnacentral:rRNA from 1 species
AGUGAACGCUGGCGGCGUGCCUAAUACAUGCAAGUCGAACGGAAUUUAAAAGAGCUUGCUCUUUUAAGUUUAGUGGCGCACGGGUGAGUAAUAUAUAGCUAAUCUGCCCCUUGCUGGAGGACAACAGUUAGAAAUGACUGCUAAUACUCCAUACUCCUUUUUACCAUAAGAUAAAUCGGGAAAGAAUUUCGGCAAGGGAUGAGACUAUAUCGUAUCAGCUAGUCGGUGGGGUAACGGCCUACCGAGGCUAUGACGCGUAACUGGUCUGAGAGGAUGAUCAGUCACAUUGGAACUGAGACACGGUCCAAACUCCUACGGGAGGCAGCAGUAGGGAAUAUUGCGCAAUGGGGGAAACCCUGACGCAGCAACGCCGCGUGGAGGAUGACACUUUUCGGAGCGUAAACUCCUUUUGUUAGGGAAGAAUAAUGACGGUACCUAAC